rnacentral:rRNA from 1 species
GACGAACGCUGGCGGCGUGCUUAACACAUGCAAGUCGAACGGAAAGGCCCCUUUGGGGGUACUCGAGUGGCGAACGGGUGCGUAACACGUGAGUAACCUGCCCUUUACUUCGGGAUAACUUCAGGAAACUGGGGCUAAUACCGGAUAGAAAUCAUUGCUGCAUGGUGGGGGUUGGAAAGCUUCGGCGGUUUUGGAUGGACUCGCGGCCUAUCAGCUUGUUGGUGGGGUAGUGGCUUACCAAGGCUCUGACGGGUAGCCGGCCUGUGAGGGCGACAGGCCACAUUGGGACUGAGAGGCGGCCCAGACUCCUACGGGAGGCAGCAGUGGGGAAGAUUGCACAAUGGGCGGAAGCCUGAUGCAGCAACGCCGCGUGCGGGAUGACGGCCUUCGGGUUGUAAAACGCUUUCAGCAGGGGCGAAGCUUGUGGUGACGGUACCUGCAGAAGAAGCACCGGCUAACUACGUG